GACGAACGCUGGCGGCGUGCUUAACACAUGCAAGUCGAGCGAAGGUGUUUCAAGGGUAACCUUGAGAUACACUUAGCGGCGGACGGGUGAGUAAUACGUGGAUAACUUACCUCUAGGCCUGGGAUAACCCCGGGAACGUAGGGGCGUAAUACCUGAUAAGACCACAUUGUCUACGGACAAAGGGGUAAAAGGUAGGCUGUGCAAACAGCUAUCGCCAAAAGAAUAGGUUCACGUCCCAUCAGGCAG
rnacentral:rRNA from 1 species